rnacentral:rRNA from 1 species
GAUGAACGCUGGCGGCGUGCCUAAUACAUGCAAGUCGAGCGAACAGACGAGGAGCUUGCUCCUCUGACCUUAGCGGCGGACGGGUGAGUAACACGUGGAUAACCUACCUAUAAGACUGGGAUAACUGCGGGAAACCGGAGCUAAUACCGGAUAAUAUAUUGAACCGCAUGGUUCAAUAGUGAAAGACGGUUUUGCUGUCACUUAUAGAUGGAUCCGCGCCGCAUUAGCUAGUUGGUAAGGUAACGGCUUACCAAGGCAACGAUGCGUAGCCGCCACGAGAGGGUGAACGGCUAGACUGGAACGGAGGCACGGUCGAGACUCCUACGGGGGGCAGCAGUAGGGAAUCUUCCGCAAUGGGCGAAUGGCUGACGGAGCAACGCCGCGUGAGUGAUGAAGGUCUUCGGAUCGGAGAACUAUGUUAUUUGGGAAGAUCAAAUGUGUAAGUAACUAGGACCGUCUUGACGGUACCUAAUAAGAAAGCCACGGCUAACUACGUG